CGGCCGGGGCAUGCGAGCGGCGGCUGUGUGCGUGCGGGCGGUGCGUGCUGCGUUUGCGUCUGCGUCAGGACACGCGCCACGUGCGACAAAGGAACUGCACACCGUCCGGUACUAGCCACUCCGUGCUGCCAUCUGACAUUAAACAUACCGUAACACUCGUGUUUGUGUGAGAGGUUUGCCUCAAACGUCUCGUGUGAAAGUGACUUGACUGUGGCGGUGGAGAACUUUCGUCGAAGCGAGCCAGCUGUUUACCGCUUUUAUCAGUCCCAGACGGUUCGCUCGCUUCAGAAAUACACAUUACUGCCCCCUACACCUUUCAGGACGAGCUCCCCAACCUCUCGGUGAAGCUGUACUGAACUUCAAACGUGGCCAAUGUUGCUGGCGUCGCACUAGCCGCGCCGGCGCUCAGAGGCCGUCCAGCGCAGCAGGCGUGUUGCAGCGAGGCGAGGUCAGCCGCUCCAGCCGCCGUCGCCGCUACUUGUCGGUGGCGACCGCGGGCGCUGCGAUGUGGGCGAGGUAGCGGCGGCGGCCGCGACGCGCCGACAUGCGGG